AGUGAACGCUGGCGGUAGGCCUAACACAUGCAAGUCGAACGGCAGCACAGUAAGAGCUUGCUCUUACGGGUGGCGAGUGGCGGACGGGUGAGGAAUACAUCGGAAUCUACUUUUUCGUGGGGGAUAACGUAGGGAAACUUACGCUAAUACCGCAUACGACCUACGGGUGAAAGCAGGGGAUCUUCGGACCUUGCGCGAUUGAAUGAGCCGAUGUCGGAUUAGCUAGUUGGCGGGGUAAAGGCCCACCAAGGCGACGAUCCGUAGCUGGUCUGAGAGGAUGAGCAGCCACACUGGAACUGGGACACGGUCCAGACUCCUACGGGAGGCAGAAGUGGGGAAUAUUGGACAAUGGGCGCAAGCCUGAUCCAGCCAUACCGCGUGGGUGAAGAAGGCCUUCGGGUUGUAAAGCCCUUUUGUUGGGAAAGAAAAGCAGCAGGUUAAUACCCCGCUGUUCUGACGGUACCCAAAGAAUAAGCACCGGCUAACCUCGUG
rnacentral:rRNA from 1 species